ACAAUAAAAAUAACAGCAGCAACCUCCCAAUAAAAACAACACGUAUCGGCUCUGACAUAACAAGAACAACACGGACAGAGACGCAGCUAACAGAUUUUUUUGGAGUGGAUCGCUUUACCUGAGGCACAAGCCUCACAACCGACCGAGAACAAUAAAACUGUCCCAAGACAGCGACCAGGCGGAUUGGAUCGAAAGAUCGAGGUGUAUCAGCGCUCAAAAAAAUACGUUUGCUCUUGGCCCCGGAUGGGGGCCGCUCAUAAAAGGAAAAAGGCUGGCUGCCAAAAAUAACAACAGGCCACCUGAAAAUAAAAAAGAGCAUGCAAUGACUACUUGAAGGGGAGCCCAGGCUCCCCUUCGUGCUGUUCAUCCUCCGCCAAUACCCUCUCCC
rnacentral:sRNA from 1 species